rnacentral:rRNA from 10 species
UGAGAUUUCCCAUUCCUAUAUGGAAGUAAGACCCCUGAGAGAUGAUCAGGUAGAUAGGCUGGAAGUGGAAGUGCAGCGAUGCAUGGAGCGGACCAGUACUAAUCGGUCGAGGACUUAACCAAG